rnacentral:rRNA from 1 species
UUGAUCCCUUCGGGGUGACGCUUGUGGAACGAGCGGCGGACGGGUGAGUAACACGUGGGCAACCUGCCUGUAAGAUUGGGAUAACUCCGGGAAACCGGGGCUAAUACCGAAUAACACUUUUACUCUCAUGAGUUUAAGUUGAAAGGCGGCUUUGUGAUAGUUUUCUUUCACGCUGCUGUCACUUACAUAUGGGCCCGCGGCGCAAUAGCUAAUUGGUGCGAUAAUGGCCUACCAACGUGACAAGGCGAACCCCACCUGUGAGGGUGAUCGGCCACCCUGAGACUGACAGACGGCCCAAACUCGUACUCUACGCAGCAGUACGAAAUCUUCAGCGAUGGACGACACUCUGACGGAGAAACCCCUCGUGUCCGAUGAAUGCGUUCUGGUCGAAGAGCUCUGUUGUUACGGAAGAACAAGUACCGUGCCGAUACGGCGGUACCUUGACGCUACCUACUACGUACGCCCCGGCUAACUACGUGCCAGCAGCCGCGCUAUGACCUAAGGUGCAAGCGUUGUCCCGAGUUAUUGCGCGUACAGCGCGCGCAUGCGGUUCCUUAAGUCUCAUGUGAGAUCUCUCGGCUCAACCCCGAGCGCUCGUUGACAACUGAGGAACUUGAAUAUACACGAGGAGAGUGGAAUUCCACAUGUAUCGGUGAGAUGCGUAGAGAUGUGGACGAAUACCUGUGCCGAAAGCGACUCUCAGGUCUGUAACUGAGGCUAACGCGCGAAAUCAUGUACAGUGAACAUCAUUACAUACCCUGAUAAUCGACACCUGAUACGAUGAGUGCUCCGCGUAAUGCUGCUU